GAAUAUGGGGGGACCAUCCUCCAAGGCUAAAUACUCCUGACUGACCGAUAGUGAACCAGUACCGUGAGGGAAAGGCGAAAAGAACCCCGGCGAGGGGAGUGAAAAAGAACCUGAAACCGUGUACGUACAAGCAGUGGGAGCACGCUUAGGCGUGUGACUGCGUACCUUUUGUAUAAUGGGUCAGCGACUUAUAUUCUGUAGCAAGGUUAACCGAAUAGGGGAGCCGAAGGGAAACCGAGUCUUAACUGGGCGUUAAGUUGCAGGGUAUAGACCCGAAACCCGGUGAUCUAGCCAUGGGCAGGUUGAAGGUUGGGUAACACUAACUGGAGGACCGAACCGACUAAUGUUGAAAAAUUAGCGGAUGACUUGUGGCUGGGGGUGAAAGGCCAAUCAAACCGGGAGAUAGCUGGUUCUCCCCGAAAGCUAUUUAGGUAGCGCCUCGUGAAUUCAUCUCCGGGGGUAGAGCACUGUUUCGGCAAGGGGGUCAUCCCGA
rnacentral:rRNA from 1 species